GUUUACAUAAGAAUAUGGGAUAAAUAGAUAAAUAAAAAACAAACAAAAUACAUAAUAAACAAAAUGCAUUUCGUUUAUUAUAGAACACCAAUGAUUUCCAAUAAAAUAAGAAAUGAGAAGCAAAGAAGAACCGAAGAUCAGAGAUCUGGGGUAUACAAGAUUCCAGCAAAGAUGUCAGAUUCCCAGCAAAGCACCGCCUAUAUAGGGGUCAUCACCAAAACAUUGAAGGAAAGGAUCAAUGAGCACAAGAAAGAGUGCUGCCAGGAACCUCAAUACGGCUCUGGCUGUAGAGGUGUACAGUAAGGACAUACAAAUAGAAUGGAAGGAAGUGAAAAUAAUAAAACCUUUGGCGAAGAAAUCUCAGGCCCUAAUAACCGAGGCUCUAGAAAU
rnacentral:lncRNA from 1 species